GGGUGAGUAACACGUGAGCAAUCUGCCCUUCUCUUUGGAAUAACCAUUGGAAACGAUGGCUAAUGCCGAAUAUGACCCCCCUUCGCAUGUUGGGGGGUGGAAAGCUCCGGCGGAGAAGGAUGAGCUCGCGGCCUAUCAGCUUGUUGGUGAGGUAAUGGCUCACCAAGGCAUUGACGGGUAGCCGGCCUGAGAGGGUGACCGGCCACACUGGGACUGAGACACGGCCCAGACUCCUACGGGAGGCAGCAGUGGGGAAUAUUGGACAAUGGGCGAAAGCCUGAUCCAGCAACGCCGCGUGAGGGAUGACGGCCUUCGGGUUGUAAACCUCUUUCAGCAGGGACGAAGCGAAAGUGACGGUACCUGCAGAAGAAGGACCGGCCAACUACGUGCCAGCAGCCGCGGUAAUACGUAGGGUCCGAGCGUUGUCCGGAAUUAUUGGGCGUAAAGGGCUCGUAGGCGGUUUGUCGCGUCGGGAGUGAAAACUCAGGGCUCAACCCUGAGCGUGCUUCCGAUACGGGCAGACUAGAGGUAUGCAGGGGAGAACGGAAUUCCUGGUGUAGCGGUGGAAUGCGCAGAUAUCAGGAGGAACACCGGUGGCGAAGGCGGUUCUCUGGGCAUUACCUGACGCUGAGGAGCGAAAGCAUGGGGAGCGAACAGGAUUAGAUACCCUGGUAGUCCAUGCCGUAAACGUUGGGCGCUAGGUGUGGGGACCUUCCACGGUCUCCGUGCCGCAGCUAACGCAUUAAGCGCCCCGCCUGGGGAGUACGGCCGCAAGGCUAAAACUCAAAGGAAUUGACGGGGGCCCGCACAAGCGGCGGAGCAUGCUGAUUAAUUCGAUGCAACGCGAAGAACCUUACCUGGGUUUGACAUA
rnacentral:rRNA from 1 species